rnacentral:tRNA from 1 species
AGUUAGAUAGCUCAUUAGGUAGAGCAACUGACUCAUAAUCAGUGGGUAGUAGGUUCAAAUCCUGCUCUAACAU